rnacentral:tRNA from 1 species
UCCGGGAUUGUGUAAAGGUAGCACAAGGGAUUUUGGAUCCCUUUAUCCAGGUUCGAAUCCUGGUCCCGGAG